AGAGAGACUGGAACACAGCAAAUUUUCUUCCACUGAGUUGGAAAAAUGUAGUCAUUAAAAGAAAAGACAUCCCUUGUUAUUCCAUCAGUCGAAAAUGGCUAUUUAUUUAUUUAUUUAUGGAGAAGAGUGUGGAGAAUGAUGACAGUAGAUGGUACACCUGGAGCAGUACAUCUCCAAAGCAAAGGGUGCAUGCACGUGCAAGAAGACAGAGCAAUUAUAUGGAUCAAAAAGUCAUCCUGUUUAUACAACGUGUCUCAAAAACUCUCUGCUGGCCACAGGCAGUGCUCGUUCUAGCAGUGUGCUGCCCAUCAGCUAACAGGGAGGCAAGACUUGGUUCAGAGACUGCUGUUGCUGAAAAAACAUUGCUACAAAUUUUGUGAUGGAGCUGGAUGGAGCAAGGCAUUGCACAGUGAGGCAUCACAGAUGGAAUGGCAGGUACAG
rnacentral:lncRNA from 1 species